CUCUCUUCCCUACUCACGAGAAUCCACAACUAUGCCUUCACUCUUCUAGACUUCCCCCUUUCUUUCUGCUAUUAUUUUUUGUCAAUUACACCGAAUCACCCUUUUAAUAAUCUCAAUAAUAGAUUAGUAGUUUGGAACUCUAAGAAGAAGGGAGACCUGAAGGAUGAAGAUCUGUAAAUUUCUCUCUCCAAUUGUUGAUUUUCACUAUCGAUUUUCGCUUUCUGGUUUUUAAUUUUGGUGUUUGAGUGAAAAUAUAAUAUAAUUUGAUUUCUUUUAUGUGAUUCCGACGAUGCAGAAUCCGAUGUUUCGUUGCUUGUAAUUAAGAUGGUGAGAUUAGGGAUUGCGCAAAUUUUACACAAAUAAUUAACACUCUCCACGAUGAUUCACCAUAAUGAGGUACAAAAUGUUGUGACUUGUGAGCGUCGUGCUUACUAUGACAUUGCCAAAACCUUGUCAGUUACCUGACCAAAAAAAUGCAUCAAGGAAUGUCUCUGCUGCAAGGAAUGUUACGUGUUACCUAACACCACUUAUUGGAGCUGUCUUAGCAGAUGCAUAUUGGGGAAUAUAUAGGACAAUUUUUGUGUUCUCCAUGAUUUAUUUGAUUGUAAUUUCUGGAUGAUAUCAUUUUCUUCUUCUCUUUUCUUCCUACUUUGACUUUUCGCAUUAAACACAUAUGACAUCUUUUAUAUGCACUUGGCAUGUUUUUGAUUGAUUAAGACAAUUUUAGGAUUUUGAUCAAACAAAAAACUUAAGAGGAAUUGGUAUUAUCUGUGCCAGUUGUAAAACUAUGUGAGUACUUUGUGAUUGAGGAAAAAUGUCUAGGUUAACGUUUUUCCCUCCAAUAAUUUUAGCGUAGAUAAUUUUGGCUUGUUCACAGUUAUAUGUUGUCACUAUUGCGCUCUUUUGUGUUGUCCAGCUCAGAUUAUAUAUCUGUUGAUGGAUAUGCUCUCUGAUGAGUUCAUUUGAGUUUUGUUGUUUGUGAAUACUUUGUAAUA